rnacentral:rRNA from 1 species
CCUACGGGGGGCAGCAGUGGGGAAUAUUGGACAAUGGGCGAAAGCCUGAUCCAGCAAUGCCGCGUGUGAAGAAGGUCUUCGGAUUGUAAAGCACUUUCGACGGGGACGAUGAUGACGGUACCCGUAGAAGAAGCCCCGGCUAACUCCGUGCCAGCAGCCGCGGUAAUACGAAGGGGGCUAGCGUUGUUCGGAAUUACUGGGCGUAAAGCGCGCGUAGGCGGAUAGAUAAGUCAGAGGUGAAAUCCCGGGGCUCAACCCCGGUAUUGCCUUUGAUACUGUUUAUCUUGAGUGCAGAAGAGGUAAGUGGAAUUCCGAGUGUAGAGGUGAAAUUCGUAGAUAUUCGGAGGAACACCAGUGGCGGAGGCGGCUUACUGGUCUGCAACUGACGCUGAGGCGCGAAAGCGUGGGGAGCAAACAGGAUUAGAUACCCCCGUAGUC